rnacentral:ncRNA from 1 species
GAAUUGCGCGGGAAGUAGUUGACGAAGGUAUAGCCCCGGCACUGGUCGAUCGCGUGGAACAGCGGGUUCCAAUCGAAGAGCUGCAGCAUCGUCGGCGGCAGCGCAUUGGCGACGAACAUCUUGCCGGACGCGAUCAUGUUGGCCCGCUG